rnacentral:pre_miRNA from 1 species
AAUGGGAUAGCUGGGUCAAAUGGCGGUUUUCUAAGGAAUCUCCAUUCUGCUUUCCAGAGUGGUUGCACCAUUUGCAGUCCCACCAGCAAU